rnacentral:RNase_P_RNA from 2 species
GCGGAUGGCCGGAUGACCGCGAGCCGCAAGGCGCGAGGAAAGUCCGGACUCCAUGAGGCAAGGGUGCCGGGUAACGCCCGGCCGGGGCAACCCGAGGGAAAGCGCCACAGAGAAGAGUCUGCCGUGGUGUCGGAGGUUCGCCUCCGGCGUCUUCCACGGUGAGGGUGAAACGGUGGGGUAAGAGCCCACCGCGGACCUGGCAACAGGGACGGCACGGCAAGCCCCACCCGGAGCAAUGCCGAAUAGGGGCCUCGCGCGGGCUGAUCCGGCAACGGAUAUCGCCGCAGGGACGCUUCAGCCCAGAGGCCCGGGUUGGCAGCCAGAUCCCGUCGGUAACGGCGGGGCCAGAGGAAUGGUCAUCGAAGGGAGGCGACUCCCGGAACAAAAUCCGGCUUACAGGCCAUCCGCGCAU